rnacentral:rRNA from 1 species
UGGGGAAUAUUGGACAAUGGGCGAAAGCCUGAUCCAGCCAUGCCGCGUGUGUGAAGAAGGUCUUCGGAUUGUAAAGCACUUUAAGUUGGGAGGAAGGGCAGUAAGCGAAUACCUUGCUGUUUUGACGUUACCGACAGAAUAAGCACCGGCUAACUCUGUGCCAGCAGCCGCGGUAAUACAGAGGGUGCAAGCGUUAAUCGGAAUUACUGGGCGUAAAGCGCGCGUAGGUGGUUCGUUAAGUUGAAUGUGAAAGCCCCGGGCUCAACCUGGGAACUGCAUCCAAAACUGGCGAGCGAGAGUAGGGCAGAGGGUGGUGGAAUUUCCUGUGUAGCGGUGAAAUGCGUAGAUAUAGGAAGGAACACCAGUAGCGAAGGCGACCACCUGGGCUCAUACUGACACUGAGGUGCGAAAGCGUGGGGAGCAAACAGG